UAGAUUGUUCUACAGUUCGGCGUGUGUCUUGUAAAACAGUAUCCAGGUUGAAAUCUCUUUCAGCAGCAAACGUGUGGUUGCACAUGCUAAUGUUACAC